rnacentral:rRNA from 1 species
UACAGAGGGUGCGAGCGUUAAUCGGAAUUACUGGGCGUAAAGGGCUCGUAGGCGGCCAACUAAGUCAGACGUGAAAUCCCUCGGCUUAACCGGGGAACUGCGUCUGAUACUGGAUGGCUUGAAUCCGGGAGAGGGAUGCGGAAUUCCAGGUGUAGCGGUGAAAUGCGUAGAUAUCUGGAGGAACACCGGUGGCGAAGGCGGCAUCCUGGACCGGCAUUGACGCUGAGGAGCGAAAGCCAGGGGAGCAAACGGG